rnacentral:lncRNA from 1 species
CCUGGAGCUAAAGGGGGCGUCCAGCGUUCGAUUUCCCGUGUGCCUGUCUCCAUCCUGGAAUUCCUGACCUCUAUGGAGUGUUCAUUGUGCGCCAAGCACCGUUCCUCAAGACGAGUAGCUGAGGGGGCGUCAUCCUUACUUUUCAGACGAGCAAACUGAGGCCCGAGGAUUUCCCACCUGCACGAUGGCAGUUCCUGCUUCACUGUUCUGCAAGUGUCCACUCUUCACCCAUGGAGUUAGUCACACAGCAGCCAAGUCCCAAGCCGGGUCUGGUGAUGCACACCCUACGCACAGGAAGCAGAGGCAGGCAGAUCUCAGUUCCAGGCCAUCCAGGGGAUCUUAAAGCUGCAGCCCAAGUUAGUUUCGAACUCACGGCGGUCCUGGCAUCUGAAGGGCAGCAGCACACCCAACUUUUCUUCUUGUACUUCUUCUCCCCCAUUCAUGUAAUCUUUGCUCGGAUGCCGAUGACCCCCAUUUCAGAGAUGCGGGAAAGGAGGCUUUGAACAAAUCAGUCACUCAACCAAGGAUGUACACCUGGCCAAGCCUCGGGCUCUUCCUCAUUGCACCUCUUCACCUAUGUGCAAGCAACAGAUCUUUCCAACAGUCUUCUGGACAUUCCUAGAGGUAGCUCAGCCCUUGACCUUUUGGCUACAAUCAAGAGUAGCAACAGAACUGAAGUUGAUGGCACACAGGGGAGACGGAGGCAGGUAGAUCUGAUUUUGAGACCAGCCUGGCCUACAGAGAGAAUUCCGGGACAUCCAAGGCAACAAAGAGAGACCCUGUCUCAAAAGUAAAAUAAAAUAAAAUAAAAUGCUGAGUACAAUCACCA